rnacentral:rRNA from 1 species
UACGUAGGGCGCAAGCGUUGUCCGGAAUUAUUGGGCGUAAAGAGCUCGUAGGCGGUUUGUCGCGUCUGCUGUGAAAACCUAAGGCUCAACCUUGGGCUUGCAGUGGGUACGGGCAGACUAGAGUGCGGUAGGGGUGACUGGAAUUCCUGGUGUAGCGGUGGAAUGCGCAGAUAUCAGGAGGAACACCGGUGGCGAAGGCGGGUCUCUGGGCCGAUACUGACGCUGAGGAGCGAAAGCGUGGGGAGCAAACGGG